ensembl:lncRNA
CGAUGCAGCACUUCGGAAUAUGAAGAGAAUGCUACUAAUUACAUUCUAACGUGUGCAUAUGCGUAUGAAUCUUAAAUGUGUCUCUUUGCAUUUUACAGGAUAAUCCAGCGAACCAUCAGGGCCGCGGUGGAGCAGCACUUCUUGGAGCUGAAAACCUCCAUCGACACCAACUACGACAGCCGGGGGGUGAGUCCCAGUGAGCCUGCAGAACAAGGUCGCCAUGGAGACGAGGCGCAACAAACUGACCCCGAGGACAGCCCCUGCCACACAGAAGGGGAGACCCCGCUCACACCGAGCGAGCAGCUCGUACAACAAAGCCAGACGGACACACGGGAUCCCUUUGCCCCCGGCGACGCCCUGGAGGAGAGCUCUGGAAUGGACCUGGACGCCGAGGCCGCCCCAGAUGCUGAGAACAACAUCAACACCGCCAGGCAGGACAAUCGACCCUGUGACAACAUGGAGCAGACUCAGGCUGACACCAUCAGCUGUGAUCCGAAUUCAUGCCGCUGUGAUCAGAACGCCAACAACAGCAAGACCAACAGGAACCACCUGUCGCCAUGCCAACCAAAAUCCGGCCACAACCCUCAUCUGCAACUCUUCCCUGACAGCCAAUGGGAAGCAUCACCCCCCUCCCAUGUCCCUCCCAUAGACUUCUCAUGUAUGCAUCUGCAAAAAGAAGGCCAAGGUGAGUAGUCGAGCGUCUACCCAUCACCAGCCAGCGAGCUUUCCUUCCAUCCUCUCGCCUUGAUUUCUUUUACGAAGGCGCUUCGAUCUGGAUUUCUUACAGGAUCCGUUUCGAGCCUUCUUUUAAUAUUUUAUCAUCAUUUAUUCAUUUAAAUAUUUCAUUAAUUUAAAAUGAACAUGUGACAAAGAAUCCUGAAUUGAAAACUUGUUUAUUUAUUGACGGGCAACAUAUUUGCCCCUUUUCUACAAAGAGCCUUUAAUAUUGCUGUAAAGACGAUCGUCUU